rnacentral:lncRNA from 1 species
CGCCGCUUUGUUAUACUCAUACGCUCUUUGUGAUAUAUCAAUCUCUGCAUCAACUUCGAAUUCAUCAUCCUAAUCGCUACAUCUUCUUCUUCAAUCCCCAAUUACCAGAAUUACUGAGUAGAUCAAUCGCUAUUUGUAAUUGAAACCCUAACUAUCAAAAAGUGAUUCUGAUUCCAUCAAUCUUGCCUAAAAUCUUAUGUGUAGACAUGGAGGACACAUUUAAUCACUAUCUGAGAUAACGUAGCUGAGUGAAGCAUCUUUGUAGAUUGCAGCCUUGCGUGAACUGGAUGAAGAUGUAUAUGAGGAACCAAUAGUGGACAUUGAUGAUGUUGACAAGAAUUAUCACCUUGCAGUGGUGGAAGAGAUGUUUCUCAUCCUGUAAACAUUAAUCAACCAACCUCCAUGCAGUCUGAAUAAUCUCACUAAACCAGUAGGUGUGGGGUAUGAAAUUUAACAUAAAUCGGUCGCCACAGGUUGCGAACCCGUUCUCUUUUACACCAUUCUACUUUUGGUGCAGUGUUUUCUUUUAUUCUUAACACGUGCCUUUGGUCUUAGAGCUCAUGUGUUCAGUUUUUGUUGUUUAUGUUUUUAGGUUUGUGGCAUUGUUAACUUAAUUUUUCACUGUUCGUUAGGUGAUGCAAGUGAUUUGUGGAUUGUUAAUAUAGGUACACGCUGUCACGAGCUUAAGGUCAAGGUUAUUACAGCAGUUCAUUCAGACAUAAGAUCAUUCAAACAAAUUCCUUGGAAGCAAUUGUCAACUGGAAAUUGGAAGAAUAUAUGCAAAAGUGAAUCGAUUCUUUCAUGUAUGAACAUUGAUACUCUCCGAAGUAUGGUAUGCACAACCGGUAACAAAGAGGCUGCCCAAUUCUAGCUUGACAAUUGGACGAAUAUAGGUCCUCUGUUUCUGUCAUUUCUAAAGACCUGCAAAGUUGCAGAUAUGCUAUUAUUAAACCGCAAUUCAAAGGAAUGGCGGUAGAAUUUACACAAUGUUUGGAAGUCAUUAACUCAACCACCUUUAUGACUGAAAAAGACAAAUGGUGCUGGUCAAGGGAUGCGUCUGGGACGUUCUCGACACUGGGGCUGGGAAGAGAGAUGGCGAGAAGCUCGGGUACGCAGGAAGAAUAUAAGCAUGUAUGGUUGAAUUGGGCAUCAAUAAAGAUAAAUUUCUUUGUCUAACGGGUGGCGAAUGACAUGAUCCCGACAAGGUUAGUAAUAAGGUUUGUAAGAAACUUAGAAUUUAACAUUUAUUCAAAGGAAAACCAAAUAACUUUGCCAUAGAUUCGAAUGUAUUGAUGGAAGGAUGACCAAGCCAAUCGUGAAAAUUAGAGGUUGUGACCAUGUUGACUUGGGAAACGGAUGGAGCCGGUGCGUAAUACACAUCAUUGUUGUUCACCCCCCGAAGAAGAGGCGCCCCUGUGAUUAUGAAAUGAACAAAAAAAUAAGAAGGAACAAAUUCACAGAAACUUAGUUAGUUUUGCAUAGUUUAGCAACCGAAACUAGAUCGCCCCCAUCUCUUCUUCUGUAGCGAAUGUUGUUCCACCGCUGUGCUAUUGCAAACCACGUCCGUCAAUGACCACAUAAAGGAACUCACUCACACAGUUAACUCUACAGUCAAAGGGUGAGUUGAGGAAGCUGCUUAAAGUGGAGAAUCCUUAUAAUAAGUCUACUGCUGUUGUUCGGAAACCUGGUGGGGUGAAAUUGAAAGCCAUGUCUGCUUCUGUAAGUAUUGCUUGCUAAUAUAGUUUUGAUUUUAUUCAAAUAUGUCAUUUGUAGUAUACUCUUAUGUUGUCGAAAACUCUUUAGUAAUAUUUUUUGGGUAUGGU